rnacentral:rRNA from 1 species
AUUGAACGCUGGCGGCAGGCCUAACACAUGCAAGUCGAGCGGUAACACAGGGAGCUUGCUCCCGGGUGACGAGCGGCGGACGGGUGAGUAAUGUCUGGGAAACUGCCUGAUGGAGGGGGAUAACUACUGGAAACGGUAGCUAAUACCGCAUAACGUCGCAAGACCAAAGAGGGGGACCUUCGGGCCUCUUGCCAUCAGAUGUGCCCAGAUGGGAUUAGCUAGUAGGUGGGGUAACGGCUCACCUAGGCGACGAUCCCUAGCUGGUCUGAGAGGAUGACCAGCCACACUGGAACGGAGACACGGUCCAGACUCCUACGGGAGGCAGCAGUGGGGAAUAUUGCACAAUGGGCGCAAGCCUGAUGCAGCCAUGCCGCGUGUAUGAAGAAGGCCUUCGGGUUGUAAAGUACUUUCAGCGGGGAGGAAGGCGAUAAGGUUAAUAACCUUGUCGAUUGACGUUACCCGCAGAAGAAGCACCGGCUAACUUCGUGCCAGCAGCCGCGGUAAAAC